rfam:Paenibacillus sp. Soil750 contig_7, whole genome shotgun sequence.
GUGCAUAAUCACGGGAGCUUGGUGAGACCAGGCUGAGAGGAUAGUUAUAACUAUCGACCGUUAAACCUGAUCUGGAUAAUGCCAGCGGAGGAACACAAGAUCUCUUUGUA